rnacentral:rRNA from 1 species
CCUACGGGAGGCAGCAGUGGGGAAUAUUGCACAAUGGGGGAAACCCUGAUGCAGCGACGCCGCGUGAGUGAAGAAGUAAUUCGUUACGUAAAGCUCUAUCAGCAGGGAAGAAACACUGACCUUACGGUCAGCAGACGGUACCUGAGUAAGAAGCCCCGGCUAACUACGUGCCAGCGGCGGCGGUAAUACGUAGGGGACAAGCGUUAUCCGGAUUUACUGGGGGUAAAGGGAGCGUAGACGGUGUGUUAAGUCUGGAGUGAAAUGCCGCAGCUUAACUGCGGAAUUGCUUUGGAAACUGGCGAUCUAGAGUGCGGUAGGGGUAAGCGGAAUUCCUAGUGUAGCGGUGAAAUGCGUAGAUAUUAGGAGGAACACCGGUGGCGAAGGCGGCUUACUGGACCGUAACUGACGUUGAGGCUCGAAAGCGUGGGGAGCAAACAGGAUUAGAUACCCCUGUAGUC